ACAAACUUGGUCAUUUAGAGGAAGUAAAAGUCGUAACAAGGUUUCCGUAGGUGAACCUGCGGAAGGAUCAUUAUUGAACAAAUUUGGGUUCGGUUGUUGCUGGCUUUUUAGAAGCAAUGUGCACACCUUACUUCAUUUUUAAUCUCUUGUGCACUAGUGUAAACCUGGAUAUGAUAUUCAAGUGAUCACACUUGGUUUAAGAAAUUGUCAAUGCCUAUUAUUGGAUUAGACUUUUCUUGAGUCUUUUCAGGUUUAUGUACCUUUUUAUACACACUAUUAAAUUAUAUGAAUGUUUGUUAUAUUGGCAUUUUCUGCCUUUAAAAAUAAAAUACAACUUUCAACAACGGAUCUCUUGGCUCUCGCAUCGAUGAAGAACGCAGC
rnacentral:misc_RNA from 1 species